ensembl:lncRNA
CAAGCCAAACACAUUUACAAAAGAGCCCUUCCAAAAUAAAGACAGACUGAAAGGAAAGCAGGCGGCUAUUCUAAGAUUCUUAUCUGGAACAUCAGCGGGAACUCCAGACUUGGACCAAAGGCAGUUCACGACCUUUGUAGAAUUGCUUCAGACUCUUAAAAAAGGACAGUCCAGAUUUGCUUUUUCAUCCUGUAUGCCUUUUUCCUCUCUUGCUGCAGAGCUGGGUCAACAGGAAGCUCUAAAGCAGGGGAUGAGGCCAUGGACGUCCCUGAAAAUGUGCCUCCUCUCUCUGCAGAGAUCAGGAUCAUCCUGGUCUCAGCUCAGCACCUGGAGUGAAGAGUACUCCCAGCAGAGCCAGAGCGGUGAGCCCACCCCGUUGCCCACUUCUGCGUGUCCACCCAGACUUAAGCUGAUGGAAUAUUAUUCAGCACUGAAAAAGAAAUAAGCUAUCAAGCCAUGAACAGACCUGGAGGAAACUUAAAUGAAUACUGCUUAGUGAAAGAAGCCAAUCUGAAAAGGCUACAUACCGUGUGAUUCCAACUAUAUGACAUUCUGGAAAAGGCCACACUAUGGAGACGAAUGGACCACAGCAAGAGUGAACCCUAAUGUGAACUCUGGACUUUGGAUGAUAAUGAUGUGUCAAUGCAGGUUCACCCUUGGUAACAAAUGUACCAGCUGGUAUGGGUUUUGAGAGCACAGAGGAGAAAUCCCAAAUGCUCACCGAAAUCAGGAAGGCUGACUCAAAAAGGUGACUUUGCACUUAAUCUCAGAGGAUAAGGAGCACUUAGCCAGGUUCCCCGCUUGAGGAGUGAAACCGCAGUGAACUCUCUCUGUUCUGGUUUGUGGAGGGGAAGAACAAUUUGAGCUGGUAAAGUGCUGAAGUUGCAUGAUUUUUUUUUAACCUCACAUCCCCAGUGUUGAAUUAAUUCACUCUCCUCAUUUCACGACACAUUAUUCUAAUUUGUCCUUGGGAAGGCUCUUCCAUUCCUUUUUUCCCUUCCAUUUUUCUUUCUUCCUUACUUCUUACCUUUUAUCUCUCCUUCACACCACCAUCCGUUCUAAUGUGUUUAAUAUGUAUUUUUGUGUGCUUACAACGUGAAUAAUGUGCUCUUGCGCAUAUGCAUCCUAUUUUUUGCAUACCGUAUUGUGUUAUAGAUCUUAUGAUACGCAGACUCCACAUUUAGUCAUCCACUGUUUCACUGAUGGAUAUGCAGAUCGCCUUCAACAAUCCGAUCCACGAAUACACUGCCGUGAAUUCAUUUAUUUAACAAAUAUUUAUAUGAGCAACUGCUAUGUUCUAGGUGUGGUUCUAGGUGCUUAGGAUGUAUCCGAAAACAAAACAGUCCAUCAGAGAACUGACGUCUCAAGGCAACCAAAGAAAUGGAAUUCAAGAAAGUAACAACAUUCUCCUAGCCACAGAAAUGCGAAAUGAGAUACACAGACUGUUUGACUUUUGGCAAGACACAGGAAGAAGAGAUGGCUGCCAUAGAAGGAACAAGAAACAAGCUGACAUUUUAGCAAAUUCCUAAAGACUUAGCGUGGGCUGGUGUACCAGUGUGGUGUAACUCCCCUUGUAGACGCCCGGGGAGUUCUCACGCUCCAGCUCUUCUCCACCGGCCUUUAACAGGUGUUCACAAAGACUGAGGGCAGGGCAGGAGACCAGAGAGAGCGUCCCUCAGUAGCCCAGGUGUGUAGGAAAUGAUUUGAUGACACUGGAGAACAGGAAAAAAAAUGAUUGCGUGCUUCCCCCAACCUUUCUGUGAUACAAAGCAAAAGUGUUACGCCACUGGGGCAAAUGCAGCAAAAACAUGUCGCCUCCAGAGCUAAUCGGGGAGGGGUAGAUGGAAAACCCAUCUGCCUUGGGUGAGGGUAUAAAAGCUUCCUUCCUGGCCCCUAGGAACCAGGUAAAGACCCACUGCUUCUGGGGAAGGAUAGAAACAGAAGCCGUGCGCCUUAGAGGAGGGGCAAGAAAAUCUCUUGGCCCAGGAUCUUGCACCAGCACAAAGCAGAGGUGUGCUACUGAUGGGAAGGGACGGGAAAAUGGCUCCUGCCAGCAGUUCACACCAAUGGGAGACAGAGUUUACUGCCCUGCGGGGCAGGAGGAGGAAGGGGAAGAGGAGGAGAAAGGAGGAGCAGGAAUGCUGAGAGAUCCUGCCUGCAAGGCCAAGUGCACAGUCCUUGCCUAAGACCGAGGCUGGACCAGGAGAAUUGAGAAUCUGCUCCUGCUCCCCAGGAGCCUAGCACCAAGUAGCAAGCACCGGUGGUCUACCAUGGAAGAGGGGAAAUAACAGCAAAAAGACCCCCUCUGUGGUGCCAGCUUGCCGGGACUGCUGAAAUCUGACGGUGGAGCAGAAAUACGGAAAAACUACUCCAGGACCCAAGGCCUCCGACUAAGCUACAGGCGAAGAGAGCGCACCACCAGAGCAAUUUGAAGCCUGUGGUGCGCUGCAGCUCAUGACAGCAACAAUAAAACCCAAACUUAGCUUGGCUACCGAGGAGAUCGAAUCAGUUCCCCCACACGAAUGGCCUGACAGAAGAGGCACACCCAUUUCCAGAAGUCAACAUCGUUUACCUCAUCUCUACUGUUCUUCAAACACGAUGACUGGCGGUCAACGAAAAACGAGUGUUGGUUCCACUCAGUGCCACCUGGGAGGGACAUGGUGCAUCCUUGCAACUGAAGGCUUCUUUACGGCAUCCACAGGAGACCUGGACGCCUAUUAUACCAGAAGACCCCUUUCCCUUUGCGGAUGAGGAGGAUUUACGCGUUGAUUGGCAAGAUGAAAGAAAGCGUCCGGGAGAAUACAGCUCCUUCUCUGAGCCACGCAUCGUGUUUCCAGUAUGUGAUGUAAAGAACUUAGUAAGAUUACUCUGUGAUUAUUUAACUAAAAACUAACUAAAUUAAUUCAUUAAAUUACACACAACAGCCCCUCCCACCUCAAGGGCCUAUUGGGUGAACUCUUAAUCCAAAUUCUGGGCAUCUUUACAAAGCUAAGGACCAGAUUCUGGAACAACAGAGUGCUGAUAUUUGUGGGGAGUCUUGGAGAGCAGUCCGCCAGACAUCUUGGGGUCUGUCUUACUCCUGGUCUUAUUUAAACUGCUACAUGGAUCUCAUUUUAUCUUCCCAACAACCCUGUGAAGUCGAUAUCACUGUCCCCGUUUUCCAGAUGAAAACAUCCAGGCGCCCACCUGAGAUACUUCUGUUUGGCCUGAAAUGGGAUUUCAGGGCAAAAGCAACAUUUUGUACCAUAUUCUGGACCUAUAUGAUUGCUUUCUUUACGGAAAUGGGUUUUUCCUUCAUAAUCUUCCAUGUUACAGGCCUAAGAAUGGAGUUGUAUGUCUGUGUAUAUAUGUAGAGAAAAGUAUCUGAAAUAAUACUCACAAAAAAUGUUAUUAGUUGUGAUCUUUGAGUGGAAGAGUUUGAUGAUUUUUACUUUCUUUUUUUGCCACUUUAUGUAUUUUUUAAAAUAAUGACCUAGAAUUACUUUUUAGUCAGAAAAAAAUGAGACUUUGUUUUCAUUUUUC